AAAAAAACAGACAAGAACGCAUAUUGUGUUGCGCCUGCGCUGUGACGUUCUUUUUCCAACCGCAUUUCCAGUCAAGAGGUCAAGAAUGUUCCUGUCUGCAUCAGCUAUCCAUCUGAAAAAGAAAAGCUGGCACUCGCAAAGGAGAUUGUGUUGUUGGAUUAUGGUCUAAUUUGGUCAAAAUGAGGGAAAUGUACUGAGCAUUUUUCUUUUUUUUUUCUUUUUUUGAUGGGCCAUCACACAGUGGAUUUAUAAAAAUGAGACUACAGAACAUCAGACGGAAGCUUCAAUGGAGUUGAAGUGAGAGGACAUCAUCAAUAAAGAAUGCCAUUGACCAAACCUUCAGUCAUCAAAGGAGAUGGAUACAGGUGGACAUCGAGUUUUCCAGACUUACCGAUAGGAAAGAAGACAAGUUUAUCAGGAAAUGGGAGGUGACAAUUAUUGAGAAACUCAGGGAAAUAGCAUCUUUAGAGAAGAAAAUGGACAUCAGACAUUCAUUGAAGAAAGCUGACAGUCAACAUAAUGAUGAGCUGUGUUAUACAAUGUUAAGUAUUCUCAUUCAUCUUCUGCUGUGUGAAUUCUGCUGUCUCAGACCUGUGGGACUUGGUGCCGGCUGGUACCAACGUGACCUCUUUGCCUACUUAAUGAGGAAAAGGUGUCUGAAAUCAGCUCAGCCACAGUUGGUUUCCAGCGGUUCUUCAGGACAUAGAGGCCACUACGUAAUUGUCGCAAUGAAUGAUUCUCUUGCCUUUCCACUUGAUGUUGACAAGCUGACCUGUGCGGUAGACAGACUUUUCAAAUUUACUAGCUAAGUAACCUUAAGUAUCCCUGCCAACUGUCUUCAGUUUUUUUGUAUGAAUAUGAUCUGCCCUUGUCCCAGUUCUCUUGCAAACGAUCCAAGGCAAUGGAGUUUCAAGAUGGACCGCAAAAUUGCUGUCUGUUUUAAACAAUGCAUGCACUAUGUGGCGGUUUCCCGGACAGGGAUUAGAGAAUAAAAGAUUUUUAAGAGCUGUCCAAACUGAAAACAACUUGCACUGACAUAUCUUAAAAUACAUCAGUGCCCUUUGUUUUGCCUCAAAAUGCACAAAUUGCCUACAAAUGUUUUUAGUAAGGCAUGUUUGUUAAAACCAGUUAUUUCCUAAUUAAUCUAAGGCCCUGUCCGGGAAACCACCCCUAAAUAUUUGUGAUGGAAAUUUCUUUAAAUACACUUGUCAAGUUCAUUUGAAGUAUUUUUCUAAAUGUAAAAUAACAUGUUAAUGUUUCAGGACAAGUUAAGAAUUUUUGAUAACUUGCAUGUUGAAAAUGAUUUCAGACAUUGUUCUAUUCAACAUGUUUAACACAGUUGCUUUUAAAUUCAAUGAAUUAUUUUAUAAAUAGUGUUUUAAAAUGUAUGAAUGUAAUGUAUGUUUGAAGUGAUUAUACUUGCACUUACAUUUAUUUAAAUUAGCAUACAUCUAGCAACAUACAGUACUAGCAUAUUUUCAUGCUAGCAUUAAUUGUCAAAUAUUUGUUAUUUUACAAAUAAAUAGUUUGUGAACAAUAUUCAAUAGUUGUCUGCGUGAUUUCAUUAUUUAAAGUUGACAAAUCAUAUGUUUUUUUCUCUUUUAUAUUAAAACUAAACAAUUACUGGGUAACACACAGUUGUGUUAAAUUAAUAGAAAGUUACACAUUAAUGUGUUUACUGAAGCAACACAUUUUUGUGUUGCAUUUUAUAACACAUAUUUUGUGUUAAAUUUAACUCAACAUGUGUUGUCCCUGCGCACACUCAGAACAUGUGUAAAAAAUAACACAUGUUGUGUUGUUUUCAACACAUUUGUUUUAAGAGUGUAGUUUUUAAGUUGAGUUCUAGUAGGCUAAAGAUAACCCAUGCAUAACUUAUUAUACAAAUAAAAGAAAAUGCAAUAGCUUUUUACAAAGGCAAGUAAAGACGAUGGCUAACAAAAACAAACUCUUACACAAGGAAUAUUGUACAUGCACAUGAGAUAAUGAUGAACUAAAUCAAUGUUUCCCAACCCUGUUCCUGAGCCAUAUCAGCACUUCCUGUUCCUAUUCAAACACACCUGAAUCCACUCAUUAACUUAUUAGUAGAGACACUUGCAACAUUUUCCCUGGUAUGUAUUAGUAUUAGUAACUUUUUUGUUUUUGUUUACAUGUGUAAAUUUGUUUGUGGUUGUUCCAUU